rnacentral:rRNA from 1 species
GACGAACGCUGGCGGCGUGCCUAAUACAUGCAAGUAGAACGCUGAAGGAGGAGCUUGCUCUUCUGGAUGAGUUGCGAACGGGUGAGUAACGCGUAGGUAACCUGCCUGGUAGCGGGGGAUAACUAUUGGAAACGAUAGCUAAUACCGCAUAACAGUAGAUGUUGCAUGACAUUUACUUAAAAGGUGCAAUUGCAUCACUACCAGAUGGACCUGCGUUGUAUUAGCUAGUUGGUGGGGUAACGGCUCACCAAGGCGACGAUACAUAGCCGACCUGAGAGGGGGAGCGGCCACACUGGGACUGAGACACGGCCCAGACUCCUAAGGGAGGCAGCAGUAGGGAAUCUUCGGCAAUGGACGGAAGUCUGACCGAGCAACGCCGCGUGAGUGAAGAAGGUUUUCGGAUCGUAAAGCUCUGUUGUAAGAGAAGAACGAGUGUGAGAGUGGAAAGUUCACACUGUGACGGUAUCUUACCAGAAAGGGACGGCUAACUACGUG